rnacentral:rRNA from 1 species
AUUGAACGCUGGCGGCAGGCCUAACACAUGCAAGUCGAGCGGAUGAAGGGAGCUUGCUCCUGGAUUCAGCGGCGGACGGGUGAGUAAUGCCUAGGAAUCUGCCUGGUAGUGGGGGAUAACGUCCGGAAACGGGCGCUAAUACCGCAUACGUCCUGCGGGAGAAAGUGGGGGAUCUUCGGACCUCACGCUAUCAGAUGAGCCUAGGUCGGAUUAGCUAGUUGGUGGGGUAAAGGCCUACCAAGGCGACGAUCCGUAACUGGUCUGAGAGGAUGAUCAGUCACACUGGAACUGAGACACGGUCCAGACUCCUACGGGAGGCAGCAGUGGGGAAUAUUGGACAAUGGGCGAAAGCCUGAUCCAGCCAUGCCGCGUGUGUGAAGAAGGUCUUCCGAUUGUAAAGCACUUUAAGUUGGGAGGAAGGGCAGUAAGUUAAUACCUUGCUGUUUUGACGUUACCAACAGAAUAAGCACCGGCUAACUUCGUG